AGCCAGAGUCCAGAGAUUCAGGCCACAGGCUGACUCUGCACCAAUGGCUAUGUGGAAUGGGACAGUUCAUCUCCGUCUCUGGUUCUGUGUGUCCCCCUCUGUAAAAGCAGAGUUUGUACUUACAUUUAGUCUAAUUCUAUAGUUUCAAAGCACCCUAGUUGACCACCUUGAAAGGCCAAAUCAAACAUUCAUGUUUCUCAAGUCUACUUUUUUUGUUGGUUUGUUUCUCUUCAAGAGCAAUAGAGGUGAUGCCUCAGAAUUUGGCCGACCUUCAUUUUAAACAGCUGUGCCAGGCAGCUUUGGAAUGGGCUCCUGUCUCCAGUGGCUUUUGCACCUGCAAUCUGGCUGGCUCGAGCUUUCUGUUUCCCGCCUGCCCCGGCAGCAGGCUAGGAGUAAGAGCAGUUGCCUAUGACGUUCUCUGAACCUCCUGCUCCAGGCGACUGAGCCAGGAGAUACCUAAGGGGCUUGUCAACACCUAAUGCUGUCUCUCCUUCUCCUUGGCUCCAAACACUGUUCUGGGUAUUGCCUCGCUGGGCCUGGCUAAAGCUCUGUCUUCUGAAGUGAAGGUUGACCUUUUAUUAAAUACUAACCCUACAAGAAAAGUAGAAUAAACUAGUCCCAUUGUAACUUGCCAAGAUUAAUACAUCCAUAGAAUUGGGGCAGGAGAUAACACCGAAUGUGUACUACAGACUAGAUAUUGUUAAGUAGUAUAUUUCUAAUUUAAUCUUUAAUCUUUAUAAUAAGCCUAUGUAAUAGAUAGGCACUAUGAUUAUUGCCAAUUUACAGAUGUGGAAACUGUGGGUUAGAGAAAUAAGGUAACUUUCCCAUAGACUUAUAGCUAUUAAGUGACAGAGGUAGGAUUUAGAGAUAGGUAGAUCCACUUGAGUCCAGAGCUUAUAGAGGUACCUACCUUACCAACAGGACGGCUUUUUGGAAUUCAUUUCGAUAAAAAAAAAAUCAAGUUGGAUAUGACGGACUUGAUCAUUUCUUCUGCCUGAGAUGCCUAACACAUCUAAAAGAGCUGUACGUUAGUUCAUGUUAUUGAAAAGCAGCCACCAAGACAGGCUAGAUGUCACUAUUUCUGAGCCUCCUUCUACUCCUCUUGUUUUUUUCCUUUUUUAGGAGGGAAAGACUGGCGGAAAGAGAAAUACACAAACCUCAGAAGGGAGCAGACAAUUCACACAUUUCUACAGUUUAACCUUCAGUGCCAAGAGAAACAGAAGUGGCUGGUUAUGAAAACCGGCAGCACAGCUUUUUCCCUCCCUGUGGUGUCUUCCCAGAUAAGAAAGCAGGCCUGAAUCCCGGGUGCUGUUCUUCCAGACCACAUGAAAGGUACUGUCUCAGGCUCCUCAUCUGGAACUUUUAUGCUUUACAAAGAUGAUAAUAGUCCCUCAAAAUCACCUACAAUGCUGAAUUAAAUAGCAUUCAAAGUAUACUAGGAGAAAAUUACAGUCAAGUUUGAGUCAACAGAUCUCUUAACCUGGUAACUUUUAGGAAACCACUUAAUUUCUGCAACUCAGUCAUCUUCCCUAUAAAAUGGGAAUAAUAAAACCUAUCUUGACUACUCUAAAGACUAGUAUUGAGAAGCAAAUGAGGUAAGAGACAUGAGAAAGAUUUAGAAAUUAUAAAAUUCAACAUAAAUACAAAUUAAUGAGGUACAUCUAUUAUGUCACCUGAUCUUUAUAACGUGACAAUUGUCCAAAUCAAAAUGGAGUCACUAAAGUUUUUUUUUGUUUGCUUGUUUGCUUGUUUGUUUUUAAAAAAACCCUGAUAAAUAGAGCCACAGAAGUCCAUGAAGAGAGGAUUCUCAUAUUCGUAUACCUGACAAGAAACACUAUCACAAUGACUGCAAAAAACACAACCUUGUACAAAGACCAUUACAAACUUACACAAAAGAAUACCUUUGCAAGGACAUCUGCCCAGCAAUUGCCUGUCCAAUCUCAGACUGGUGUCACUCUUGUUAUUUAUCUUUGUAACCAAGGAUAAUUAUUUCAAAACAAUUAUGUAAUUCUCCUCAUUUUUUCCUUUAAAAACCAUUUCUUUCUUUUACCUCCCUGAGUACUCAUAUGGGCACAGCAGUCUCAUUGCAGUGUAUUCUCAUGCACUAUUCCCAAAUAAAUAUUUUUUUCUUUUAGAAAGCCUCUCUCUGUUUGUUAUUUAGGCUGACAAUAACAACCCCAGGAAAUGGGUAAGUUAUUAUCCCUAUUUAUUGAUGGGUUGCGGGGGAGAAACAGAAAAGGAUCAGGCUAUUUGCUUAAAGUCCCUCAGCAAGUUGGCUCCCAAGGCAAGUCCAGUGCCCUUGCAUCCCAUCACCUCCUAGACCCUCCACCAGUGCUGCUUAUUCUCUCUGCUGUUUUCCCAGAAUCAUUCACUGCCCUUCUCCACAUCACAGGAGCUCCUGUCUCCUCUGACUUCAGGUUGGACUGGCUAAUAGAAAGACCAAAAGGUGGCAGGAGAGCAGAGUUGAGCAUUCGUUCCCUGGCUCUCCCCCUGCCUCAGCACUGUGGCUCUGACAAUGACUGGAUCCCUCUACAACUUCGACUCUUAUCUAGAGCCUCCUUCCACAGUGGUAGGUCAUGGCACCCCAUGAACACUGGAUCCCCAUGCUCACCCCAUGCUCUUCAGGCCUGGGCAGUACAACAGCUUCCUGCUAUUGCUAAAACCUGGCACCUCGUCCUCUCUUCCUAGGUGCCUCAGCCCUGCCCACACAUCUCUAAAUUGUACCUUUAAAUUGUAUAUCUUUAAAUUGUACCUUUAUUCAAUUAUCUGUAAAAUUCCAGUUGAGCAUGUCUUCUAUUUCUGCUGAGAAAACUAAGAAACUCCUCCUUUUCAAACUAUUUGUUCACAGGCUGCCAAAAACUUUUACCACCUGUCCCCAAUUCCUCUCUCAGCCCUCUCCUCACUUUACCCAGACUCCUUUCACAGGAAGUCAUAAGCCACCCCCCAUUCCUCUCCAGGCGCGAAUUUACCAUGGCUCUGGACUUGCCCUUUACCAGUUCUCUAUUAAUUUAAAAGCUGAUAAGUCCUCUCCCAAGCUCCUAUUUCCCCAUCCUCUCUUCUUCGUCUAUCUCACACUUUAUUUCUCCAUAGGAAAGAAUUUGAACUAUCGAUCUGUCUGCUGUAUAAUUUGGAUUGAGAAACAGAGCAUGAAAACACUCUUUGAAUACCUUCAGGGAAACAUACUCUAUUCAAACUAUGUUUCUUUCAACUCUAAAUUUGUAAACUAUUCUUUUUUUUAAGGUAGUUCUGCCUAAAAGAGUUAAAAAAUUGACUACCCUAUCAAUUUUGCCCUCGAGGUUAUACCAACUAUUUCUAUACUGGCAAUAAAAUCAACUCCAUUUCUUCCAGGCUAGAUCACAAUUAUUACUAGGCACAUAUUCCAAGGCUGCAAUAAUUCAGUGGCCCAAUACUAUUUCAAAUUUAUAGCAGAAAGAGGCACAAUAGUCAUUUUGGCCUCUAGGGUGCCUUCUCACUAAAGACCAUGAGCUCAGAGGUUACACAUAACCUAUAAUAAUAGUUGUGUCUUCCUAGGGUGUGAUUGAAGAAAAGAAAAUAAAUAAAAAUGCCCUUGCCUUCUUAUGUUAGAAUGCGUAACCAAAAGCACCCAAGAGCUGACAUUCAGUUCAGGAUUUCUGAGACCCUUCCUCCUUUCCUUGCUGUGAAAAAUAAUGAUCUGCUGUUCUCUGACUGUCAUUCAAACAAUGGGCCCAAGAAGCCAGCAUCUCUCUCCUCACUGGCCUCUUGUUCUCUAAAUGUACUGCCCAUCACCACUUUCCAAACCACAUUAGUCAUGAAGUGCUGACAAUAAUUACUAACACAUUGAAAUGGUUGCCCAAAAUGAUGACUGUACAGGCCUACAGAAUUGGUAUUUUUACUGCAGUAAAAGGGUAUGAGUAUGAGGCUUCAUAAGAAAUUUUAUGGCAUUUUGGCUACUGAUCACAGGUACAAAUUAUCCAUGCUCAAUUAAAGAAAGAUGAAAGUUCAGCUUUCUAUAAUUAAACCAAUAACUUGUUCAGCCUCAGGCUGGAAGUAAAUGUUAAGGAUUCGUGUCUUGCAAUCCUGCAUGAAGAAUUAAAGAAGCAAACUCUAUUAUCACCGACUUACUUAAAAUCAAGGCCUUAUGCAUAUUGGAAAUUAUUCAUGAUGAGACUUUUAGAUCAGGAAAAAAUAAGUCAUUCUCACACUCUUUUGGCUGCCUUGCAGGCAAUAACUUUCUUCACUAUUCUGUUUGGAAUAUUGCAUCAUUUAGAUCAUUCUUCUUAAGUCAAUCCAGACAUUUUCUUUAGAUUCUGCUAAGAAUAUUAUAUGAAAUUUAAGGACUGGAAAAAAUACUUAAAGAGAUAUUUUAACAUGAUAAAAAAAAGUCCAACAACCAGCUCUGCAACUUCCUACCCUCUGCUUCUAUUUCCUUACCUAUAAAAUGGGCUGUGAUGAUUAGUUUUAUUUGUUCAGUUUAGCUAGGCUGCAAUCCUUAUUUAUUCAACCAAACACUAAUCUAGGUGUUUCUGCAAAGGUGUUUUGUAGAUGUGAUUACAGUCCACAGUCAGUUAAUUAUAAGUACAGGAGAUUAUCCUAGGUAAUCUGGGUGGGUCUAGUUCAAUCCAUUGAAAGUCCUUAAGAGCAGAACUGAGGCUUCCCUGAGGAAGAAGUUCUGCCUGUGUCUUCAGAUCAUGCCAAGGAGUUCUAGCCUCCCCCUCCUAACAGCAUGCCUUACAGAUUUUGAAAUUACCUAGCGGCCCCCAGUUGUGUAAACCAAUUCCUUCCAAUAAUUCUAUGUCCAACCAUCCACCCAUCCAUCCAUCCAUCCAUCCAUCCAUUCAUCCAUCCAUCUUUCUGCUUGUUUCUCUUGUUAUACCUUGACUGAUACAUGAGGAUAAUAAUGCCUAUUCUGCAGCAGUGCUAUAAGAAUAAAAUGAGAUUGUAUAUAUAAAAAUUAUUUUAACACAAAAUAAAUGUAAGGAUGUGUAUGUAGAAUUACUAUUUGAUUUGACUAACUCAAAUCGAGCUAACAACUCCAUAUAAUCACUGCUCUUUCCUAACAGGCCUUGUGAUUUUGUUUUCCAGAUUCUGCAUAUCUGUUACAUUCUAAGGCCACUUCACAACACUACCAAACCCAGCUUUACAGUUUGGAAGACUGAGAGAAUCAUACCCAAAGCCACAAACAUCCAAAUAUGGUGUUCUUCACAAGAAACUAAUAAUGAACUUGAGACAGAGUCUGCAGGGAUAGGUAUCAGAAGUCAAGUCUAAAGUAUAUGAGGUCUAUGUUCAAACAGGAGCCUGGACAUGACUGAGAUAAAGAAUGAUUCCCGAGCUGGGCACACUGGCUUAUGCCUAUAAUUCCAGUGACUCAGAAGGCUGAGGCAAGAGGAUUGCUUGAGGCCAAGAGUCUGAGGCUCUAUUGAGCUAUGAUUGCACCACUACUGUCCAACCUGGGGGACACAGCAAGAGCUUGUCUCUUAAAAAAGAAAAAAAAAGAUUGAGUCCAGAGUUAGAGCUACAGGAUAAAAAUAAGUUAACUGAACUCAGGGGGAGAAAGGAGGGGAACCUACUCCAAAUUCUAGCUCAGGUCUUACCUAAAUGUGGGCUGGCUCAGCUCCCAAGUGGCUGAGUGAGGUCAUGACUGAGAAGAAAGGACCCCUGGCCCAAGUCGUGAGUUGAAUGACUCUUAGGUUGAGAAGCUUUCGUACCUAAGAAUCAAGUGGCCAGUGGUGCACCAUGGGAGAGAUGAUCACCAAACUUUUCUUCUCUUUGAGGUCACACACCUAGAUUACCUGCCCCAGUCUCCCUUGCAGUUAGAUCUGGCUGUGAGGUUGAGUUUUAGCCAGUGGGAUAAAGAUGGAAGUUUCCACUGGCCUAACCCAUAAAUUCCUCCACAACUCUUCCCACUUUUAAUCUUAUGCCCCCAUGUCGUCUCUUCUCCCAGCCUUCUUCGUCUCAAUAAAUGUCACUAGCACAUAUCCAGUCAUUCAAGGAAAAACACAAUGGAGAAAACCAUCCUCAACUACCCAUUCCCUUUACCUCACUCUUUCCCAGCAUCCUGCAAAAUCUCGCUCCAAAUAUAGCUCCAGUUUGUCCACUUCCCUCCCUUUUCUCCAGUCUAUAACCUUGGUUUACUCCAUCACUAUCUCUCAAUUAGACUAUUGAAAUAAAAUCCUACCUGGAAUUUAAACUCUUAA